UUUCCGCCAGGCAACGCUGGCGGCAUGCCUAAUACAUGCAAGUCGAGCGGACUUGAAGAAGCUUGCUUCUUUGAUGUUAGCGGCGGACGGGUGAGUAACACGUAGGCAACCUGCCCUCAAGUUUGGGACAACUACCGGAAACGGUAGCUAAUACCGAAUAGUUGUUUUCUUCGCCUGAAGAGAACUGGAAAGACGGAGCAAUCUGUCACUUGGGGAUGGGCCUGCGGCGCAUUAGCUAGUUGGUGAGGUAACGGCUCACCAAGGCGACGAUGCGUAGCCGACCUGAGAGGGUGAUCGGCCACACUGGGACUGAGACACGGCCCAGACUCCUACGGGAGGCAGCAGUAGGGAAUCUUCCGCAAUGGGCGAAAGCCUGACGGAGCAAUGCCGCGUGAGUGAUGAAGGUUUUCGGAUCGUAAAGCUCUGUCCAGGAAGAAC
rnacentral:rRNA from 1 species